rnacentral:rRNA from 1 species
AACGCUGGCGGCGUGCCUAACACAUGCAAGUGGAGCGACGAACCAGGCUUCGGCCUGGGGCAAAGCCGCGAACGGGUGAGUAACACGUGGGUAACCUGCCCCGAUGAUCGGGACAACCCGAGGAAACUCGGGCUAAUACCGAAUGUGCCCUCCGGCCAUAAGGCCGCUGGGGAAAGGAAGCUUCGGCCUCCGCAUCGGGAUGGGCCCGCGGCCCAUUAGCUUGUUGGUGAGGUAAUGGCUCACCAAGGCGACGAUGGGUAGCUGGUCUGAGAGGACGAUCAGCCACACUGGGACUGAGACACGACCCAGACUCCUACGGGAGGCAGCAGUGGGGAAUCUUGCGCAAUGCGCGAAAGCGUGACGCAGCAACGCCGCGUGGGGGAAGAAGGCCUUCGGGUUGUAAACCCCUUUCAGUUGGGACGAAGCUCCGUCGGUGAAUAGCCGGCCGGAGUGACGGUACCUUCAGAAGAAGCCCCGGCUAACUACGUGCCAGCAGCCGCGGUAAUAC